AACAGGGGAUCAAGGAGGGGGCAUCAGGAAUCGCCUGGGGACCCCCUGGAGACUGGCGGAAGCGGUGCCCUUGGGCGCAGCAAACAGAGAAGGGAGCACAGGCUAAGACAGAGACAGUCCUGGGCGCUAGAGAGCAGGAGCCCCCGGCGCGGCAGGGAAAGGAACGUAGAGCCUGCGCGCUCGGGGAAUGAGCUUACUGCCGCUCGCUAGGGUGGCGCGCAUUGGGGCUCUAGAAAAGAGGGUUGAGAAGCCCCGGGCAAGUGCCUAGGAAGGUCAGAGGAGUCAGCCAAGUCCACGGAACAACUUCCCCGGGUUGGAGAGGAAACGCACCCUGGGAGCUGGAAAGAAGAGGAAAGCUAGCCUGGGGGAAGCUUGAUCAGGGCUCUGAGUACCACGAGGAGUGCAGAGGAGGUGCUGAUGAUUGCGGGGAGAGCUCUGAGAGCCCGAAAAAGAUGGGGAAACUGAAGCCCUAGAGGAAAAGAAGACUAAAUGUAUUACCAUCUGACCCACUUCCUGGCUAGCCUGUUCACCUAUCUGCUGUUCUUCACUGAUGUGCAAUCCAAGACUCAGAGAAGCUGGAGAAUUU